rnacentral:rRNA from 1 species
AGAAUCAACGCUGGCGGCGUGCCUCAGACAUGCAAGUCGAACGCGAAAGUCCCCCUUCGGGAGACGAGUAGAGUGGCGCACGGGUGAGUAACACGUAGGUAAUCUACCUUUGGAUGGGGGAAUAAACAAUACGGAAACGGUUGCUAAUACCGCAUAAUGCAGCGGCACCUAAUGGUGACAGUUAGUUAAAGGCGGGGGAUCGAAAGACCUCGCGUCUGAAGGAGGAGCCUGCGGCGGAUUAGCUAGGUUGGUAAGGUAACGGCUUACCGAAGGCGACGUAUCCGUACGCCCGG